UGUGGGAACGGCUGAUUGAACGUGAACUGC
rnacentral:piRNA from 1 species